AUUUAUUUGUAUAAAACAAGUGGCUUAUUUUGUUAAUGAAUCCUUUGAACCUGAGAUGAAAGUGAAAACUUUUGGCAAAACAGUAUGAUGCCUACCUGUCCUUUCUCUUUUCUCGGACUGCUCAAACUAAAUAGUCAACUGGGCAUGUAAAAAAAUCUCUUUUCAUUGCCUCCCCCAAAUUCACAUACCCAAGAACUAGUGAAUUUGAAGAUAUCAGGUGGGGCCUGUAGGAAGCCUCAGACACUGGCAAUUGGGCAAAAAAAUAUUUGUAGAGCUGCUUGCAAGCAAAACCUUUUAUGUCUCAGAAAGUUAACGUUAUCUCCUUCCCUAGGAUAAACCUGGAAGGUACUGAUCGAAGGUUUCUGUGGAAGAAACCUGUUGUUGGAAACUCUCAGAACCUCCCAGACUACGAAAACACCACAGAUGACCCGCAUUCCCAGGGACUUUUGAGCUCAGAGCUGGAUGUCUGUGUUGAAGAGAAGGGAAAAGCCAAGUGCAGGGGGUGACAGAGGAGGAACGGAAGCCCUGCCGCCUGCAGGGGGCUUCCUGUUGUGGCUAUCCCGUGAUCAAACCUAGAGCUAGAACCUCCUAGAUCGUACAACAGAGGCUGGAGAUAAAAGAGUGACACAGGAUUAAUGACGGGGAAAAACACCUUGUGACAAUCGAGGCAGAGAUUGGAGGGAUGCAGUCACCAGUCAAGGAGUGCCAAGGGCUGCCAACAGCAGCACAGGAGGACAGCAGAUGUAAAAAGCUCAGGUGAGGGAGCAAGCCCUGGGGCUCUCUCUGAACAGCGGAGAAACCCACCAGGAGCUCAGGAAGCCUGAAGAAAAGAGGCUGCUUUCCAGGGCCCGCCAGAAGUAUACUUUGUGAUCUCUGUGGCUC
ensembl:lncRNA